AUGAGGACUAGUAUGAACGGCUUCACGAAAGCUACACUGUCUCCUUUAUUUAAUCAGUUAAACUAAUCUCCCCGUGAAGAAGCGGGGAUGCACCUAUAAGACGAGAAGACCCUGUGGAGCUUUAAACACCUUAAAACAUUUGAAUCUACACCCAUUCCCCUACUCCACUAAACCCAUCAUUUUGUUUUAAGUUUUAGGUUGGGGUGACCACGGAGAAUAACUUAACCUCCACGUAGAAAGAAGCUCCCUUCUAAGCAAAAAACUACACUUUUAUGCAUCAAAACAUUUGACCUAAAUUGACCCAAUUAUUUGAUCAACGAACCAAGUUACCCUAGGGAUAACAGCGCAAUCCGCUUUAAGAGCUCAUAUCGACAAGCGGGCUUACGACCUCGAUGUUGGAUCAGGGUAUCCCGGUGGG
rnacentral:rRNA from 1 species